UGGUGUCCCAGGACUGCAAGUAACUGCGUACAUCCACACAGCGCAUUACACCAACCUGAGAAGAAUCCUUGCGUGACCGGAUUGUUUCUGAACCUGCCGAGCCCCUGCUGCAUCUGGGACCCGCCUUCACCGUUUCCCAAUCCCAGCGGUUAGCCCCUGCGCCCCCUUUUUGGUCUCCACUUUGCCGUUCGAAAAUGCCUAGGUUGGUGGAUCGACCCUCCGCGGAGCAAAGACGGAUGGCUGGCAGGAGCAGGUUCAGGAGCUGGGCCAAGGAGUGUUUGGCCCGGCGGUCCACCCCGGCUUCCCGAGAUACGCUAGAGUUGCCCCCACGUCCUGUCCGCCGCGCCCCUACCCACCGGGUUGCCUUCGGGGCCCUUCGGUGCUGUGUAGUCGGCGUGGCGCUGUGAGCUAGGCGAACAGGAACCCCCAGGCCCGCCACGUCUACGCUAUUAGCAGCCAGGUAGCCCUGCGGGUCGAAGAUGCUCAGAGGAGGAGUAAAUGCAGAGAAAAAAUAGAGGAAGGAAUAAAAAAAAAAACAAAACAAAAACACGUAACAUACACGCACUCAAAACCAACUUUGGGAUUGGACUUUUUCAGUUUCACACGAAGAGACUUGGAGUAUCUGGAGAAGGUUUUUGAAGACGUUUAGGAGGGAGGGUGAGUUUUCUGCUGAGAAACUCAAUCUGCCAUACAGUAGCGGCCCCAUCUGGGAUCUGUCACUGCUGACAGCACCAGAGGGCACAGCCGUGAUCUUCUGCACAGCCUGCACUCCCCGAAAUACCCUCCUUAAUCAAAGGAUGUCUGCGCGCCUGAGCUCAGCUGACCGCGCCGGGAGCACCAGGGCCGUUGGAUUCCACCCCAGCCCGCCCCCUCCCCACGCACACAGCCACGGCCCCUCGCGUCUUCGCGGCACGUUAAUUAAAUGCGGAAAACAGACAGAGGCUGAUGUCAUUGCUCUCACAAGAUCAUAAACGUAAAAGAGUCAUCCUGUGAGAAUCCCUGAAAAUGACUUUAAUGAAUAAUUUCAGAGACAGUUAUGACUUUGGGUGAUUACUGAGCAAGAAUAUGAAAACCAGAUUUGCAAAGCGAAGGCGAUGGUCAAAAGGCCUGGCAGUUACUUUCUCUCAUUAAAACCGCACCGGCUUUCCUUCUUCGCCAAGUACUAGUUACCAACUGAGGUUGCGUUUUCAGGUUUUCUUCUUCAAAAUAACAGUCUUCUUUUCCUGCUUUUCUGCCUUAUCCUAAAGACAAAAUGUCAGCUCCAGGGAACGACAUUAACAACCCACUUUAAAUUGAAGGCAACUCUGCACUGGCGUCAGUGGCCAUUGGCUUCCAUCUUUUUACAAAGGUUGGAUUUACUGCCAUCUUAGGAUCAUAUCUCUUUUGGCCUCUUCUCUAGGCAAUGUAUUUAAUGAAGGUUGAACAUUCUCACUGACCCUGAGUCAGUGCACUGUUUGUUGUAAAGGAUCUCAGCUGGUGGGGCAAAAAACAAGUUCCAAACAACCUGCCUUUACAGAAGAGUCUCCCUGACUCUUUAGUUCUAGGUCACCAAUGAACUGAAAAAUGAUUUGGUGCUACAUUAAGGAAUAUUUUCAAACACUCCAUCUGGCCAUGGAGAAGCAUCCAGUUGGUUAUAUCUGGUUGCUCAUGCAUUAAAAAUACUAUUUGAGAAAACAACUAGGGUGUUAGUUGUGGAAGUGGCCUGGUGAGUACCCUCUGAUCUUUUGCACGAAGUUUAGCUGCCUGCAAGUCUGUCUUCUUUGCUUGAAAAUAUAAACUGGGACUCUCUGGGCCUGUGUCCCAUGUGGAUUUAUUCCACUUAAUUCAAGUAAAAGUUUGUUUAUACUCUGAGCAAGAAAGUAUUAUAGGCACAAGUGAUGUGGAGUUUUCAGUUUGCUUGUUUUUUGCUGUUGUUUGUUUGCUUUUGAGCGAUCUGAGUGAUUUAGAAAACUAAUGUGUCUCAGUCGGCUCCACCAUUCAGACAGAUCAUAGAGAACCCACUUACCAGCACUCUAGAAAACUGUACUUUGUGCAGACAUUGCCUGAUCCUCCCCUUUCUAGAAGCACAGAUAGGCCAGAAUCCUUCAGUCACUGAGGACACAAUUGUCUAAAAGCCUCAUUCCCUAUCAUUAGCCCCCAAACCGCAGAGCUGUUUCCUUCCCUCUUGGCUCCAGAUAGGGGUGGGUGGGAGAGGGGACUAGGCUCUCCAUGUGACAUUUCCCUGACUUGAGAGGAAAUGUUUCUUUCUGAUUCUAGAUUACAUGAAGACACUUUGGAGUUGGUGUAUAGGGUUUCCUCAAAGAACUGAGGUAACGUGGACUUUAGGGAAUUUUCCUCAAUUGGAUUCCCUGUUUAUUUGUGAUACUAUUUGUGUCCCCCAAAUAGAUCUUCUUGUUGCUCCACUCACAUCAUGAGCAGUUUUCCUUUUCCUCUAGUUACAUUCACUCUAGCUUCUGACUGAAGACUCUGCUUGCCCUUUGUAGCCCGUGCAGGAAUAAACAGCAUCUUCUGGA
rnacentral:lncRNA from 1 species